ACGCUGGCGGCACGCCUAACACAUGCAAGUCGAACGAAGUAGCAAUACUUAGUGGCAGACGGGUGAGUAACAUGUAGGUAUCUACCCUUUGGCCUGGAAUAACACGAGGAAACUUGUGCUAAUACCGGAUAAGUCUUUACGGAGAAAGCUUUAUGCACCAUUGGAUGAGCCUGCACUUGAUUAGUUUGUUGGUGGGGUAAUGGCCUACCAAGACUGUGAUCAAUAGCUGAUUUGAGAGGAUGAUCAGCCACAUUGGGACUGAGACACGGCCCAAACUCCUACGGGAGGCAGCAGUGGGGAAUCUUGCACAAUGGAGGAAACUCUGAUGCAGCGAUGCCGCGUGAGUGAAGAAGGCCCUUGGGUUGUAAAGCUCUUUCGUCGGGGAAGAAAAUGACUGUACCCGAAUAAGAAGGUCCGGCUAACUUCGUGCCAGCAGCCGCGGUAAUACGAAGGGACCUAGCGUAGUUCGGAAUUACUGGGCUUAAAGAGUUCGUAGGUGGUUGAAAAAGUUAGUGGUGAAAUCCCAGAGCUUAACUCUGGAACUGCCAUUAAAACUUUUCAGCUAGAGUAUGAUAGAGGAAAGCAGAAUUUCUAGUGUAGAGGUGAAAUUCGUAGAUAUUAGAAAGAAUACCAAUUGCGAAGGCAGCUUUCUGGAUCAUUACUGACACUGAGGAACGAAAGCAUGGGUAGCGAAGAGGAUUAGAUACCCUCGUAGUCCAUGCCGUAAACGAUGUGUGUUAGACGUUGGAAAUUUAUUUUCAGUGUCGCAGCGAAAGCGAUAAACACACCGCCUGGGGAGUACGACCGCAAGGUUAAAACUCAAAUGAAUUGACGGGGACCCGCACAAGUAGUGGAGCAUGUGGUUUAAUUCGAAGAUACGCGCAGAACCUUACCAACACUUGACAUGUUCGUCGCGACUCUAAGAGAUUAGAGUUUUCGGUUCGGCCGGACGAAACACAGGUGCUGCAUGGCUGUCGUCAGCUCGUGUCGUGAGAUGUUGGGUUAAGUCCCGCAACGAGCGCAACCCUCACUUUUAGUUGCCAUCAUUAAGUUGGGCACUCUGAAAGAACUGCCAGUGAUAAGCUGGAGGAAGGUGGGGAUGACGUCAAGUCCUCAUGGCCCUUACGUGUUGGGCUACACACGUGCUACAAUGGUAUCUACAACAGGAAGCAAGACUGCGAGGUCAAGCAAAUCCUUAAAAGAUACCUCAGUUCGGAUUGCACUCUGCAACUCGAGUGCAUGAAGCUGGAAUUACUAGUAAUCGUGGAUCAGCGUGCCACGGUGAAUGCGUUCCCGGGUCUUGUACACACCGCCCGUCACACCAUGGGAGUUGGUUCUACCUUAAGGCAAGGUUUCAAACCCUUGACCACGGUAUAGUCAGCGACUGGGGUG
rnacentral:rRNA from 1 species